GGUUAAGAACGUCGUGAGACAGUUUGUAUGAUAUCUACUAGGUGUGUUAUUGUCUGAGUGGAACGAGCUCGUAGUACGAGAGGAACCAAGCUUGGGUGCCACUGGUGAGCAGUUGUUAUGAGCAGGCUGCAUAGCUACGCACUAAACGGAUAAGAGCUGAAAGCAUCUAAGCUCGAAGUCGCCCGAAAGACGAGGCACCUCAGGGGACUCGUAGAAGACGAGUUUGAUAGACAGCGGGUGUAAGGACCGAGGUUCGCCGAGGUCUUCAGCCCAGCUGCACUAACCCCCCGAGCAUCCAAAAUAA
rnacentral:rRNA from 1 species